GAUCCUGGCUCAGGACGAACGCUGGCGGCGUGCCUAAUACAUGCAAGUAGAACGCUGAAGGAGGAGCUUGCUUCUCUGGAUGAGUUGCGAACGGGUGAGUAACGCGUAGGUAACCUGCCUGGUAGCGGGGGAUAACUAUUGGAAACGAUAGCUAAUACCGCAUAACAUUGACUAUUGCAUGAUAGUCAGUUAAAAGGUGCAAUUGCACCACUACCAGAUGGACCUGCGUUG
rnacentral:rRNA from 1 species